AUACGGAGGGUGCGAGCGUUAAUCGGAAUUACUGGGCGUAAAGCGUACGGAGGCGGUUGGUUAAGUUAGAUGUGAAAGCCCCGGGCUUAACCUGGGAACUGCAUUUAAAACUGGCUAACUAGAGUUAAGUAGAGGGGAGUGGAAUUUCAGGUGUAGCGGUGAAAUGCGUAGAGAUCUGAAGGAACACCAGUGGCGAAGGCGACUCCCUGGACUUGAACUGACGCUGAGGUACGAAAGCGUGGGUAGCAAACGGGAUUAGAAACCCUAGUAGUCC
rnacentral:rRNA from 1 species